rnacentral:rRNA from 1 species
GGAAGCGAUCAUACCAGCACUAAAGCACCGGAUCCCAUCAGAACUCCGAAGUUAAGCGUGCUUGGGCGAGAGUAGUACAAGGAUGGGUGACCUCCUGGGAAGUCCUCGUGUUGCAUUCC